rnacentral:rRNA from 1 species
UACGUAGGGAGCGAGCGUUGUCCGGAAUUACUGGGUGUAAAGGGAGCGUAGGCGGGAUUGCAAGUUGGAUGUGAAAACUGCGGGCUCAACCCGGAGCGUGCAUUCAAAACUGCGAUUCUUGGGUGAAGUAGAGGCAAGCGGAAUUCCUAGUGUAGCGGUGAAAUGCGUAGAUAUUAGGAGGAACACCAGUGGCGAAGGCGGCUUGCUGGGCUUUUACUGACGCUGAGGCUCGAAAGUGUGGGGAGCAAACAGG